rnacentral:rRNA from 1 species
CGGUAAUUCCAGCUCCAAUAGCGUAUACUAAAGUUGUUGCAGUUAAAAAGCUCGUAGUUGGAUUUCUGCGGGGACGGAGCGGCCGGUCGCAACUUGCGACUCGAGCUAGCGCCUUCCCCCGCAUCCUGCCGCGAACCGUGCUACCAUUAGCUUGGUGGCGCUGGGGAUCGGCUCGAUUACUUUGAGAAAAAUAGAGUGUUCAAAGCAGGCCACACGCCUUGAAUAAGUUAGCAUGGAAUAAUGACUAAGGACUUCGGUUCUAUUUUGUUGGUGUUCGGGACUGAAGUAAUGAUUGAUAGGGACAGUUGGGGCGGUCUGUAUUCCAAAGCGAGAGGUGAAAUUCUUAGACCUUCGGAAGACAAACAGCUGCGAAAGCGUUCCGCAAGGAUGUUCCCUUUGAUCAAGAACGAAAGUUGGGGGAUCGAAGACGAUCAGAUACCGUCGUAGUCUCAACUAUAAACUAUACCAGCUAGGGAUCGGUCAACGUUUAAUCAUUCGACUUGAUCGGCACCUUAUGAGAAAUCAAAGCAUCUGGGUUCCGGGGGGAGUAUGGUCGCAAGGCUGAAACUUAAAGGAAUUGACGGAAGGGCACCACCAGCCGUGGAGCCUGUGGCUUAAUUUGACUCAACACGGGAAAACUUACCAGGUCCAGACAUAGUAAGGAUUGACAGAUUGAUAGCUCUUUCUUGAUUCUGUGGGUGGUGGUGCAUGGCCGUUCUUAGUUGGUGGAGUGAUUUGUCUGGUUAAUUCCGUUAACGAACGAGACCCCAGCCUGCUAAAUAGCGCGGUUGAGCUUUGCUCGAUGCGAGCUUCUUAGAGGGACUAUGAUGCGCGAUAGCACAUGGAAGUUUGGGGCAAUAACAGGUCUGUGAUGCCUUUAGAUGUUCUGGGCCGCACACGGGCUACACUGGCGCCUGCAACGAGCAUAUCAGCUGGCCCGAGAGGGUCUUGGCUAAUCUUUUGAACCGGCGCCGUGCUUGGGAUUGACCAUUGCAAUUGUUGGUCAUGCAACGAGGAAUGCCUUGUAAACGCGAGUCAUCAGCUCGCAUUGAAUACGUCCCUGCCCUUUGUACACACCGCCCGUCGCUCCUACCGAUGAAUGUUCCGAUGAAAUUUUCGGAGAGCGCCAGAGAACGGGGCUCUGCCUUGCAGAUCUGGAGGCUCAAAGUCACUUAAAUCUAAACAUUUCGAGGAAGGAGAAGUCGUAACAAGGUAGCCG